ACAAUAAUUGUUAGCAUGGUUGAAUAUUUUGCUCCUAACUGCACUGAAAGCAGCAGUGAAAAUGUUACGUCUUUUCUUUUUCAUUGAAGUCAGAAAGAAGGAAAAGUUGGUUUGUCAACGACAGAAAAGCCGGUACAUUCCAUGACCACACUGCGUGGCGAAAAGUUUACUAAAUGCAACAAAAAGUGCAAAACAUUCAGUAUUGGAAGUUAUGAUCAUCUUCACUUGUGGCAACUGCAACCAGGAGUUUAAGUUUCAAGUGAAGCAAGGAGAUGCUGCUGAACAAAGUGAUCUGAACAGAUGUCGAUUGGCCCAAAAGCUUGUUAUGAAAAAUCUGAUAAAAGAACGGUUGAGUUUUUGUAACUCAAGACGAUGAUGGGAUUAAUAAAAUGUCAAUAAAAUACUUACACCUUCCAUUUGGUUGGGAAGACUUUUUUAAUGGUUUGCUCACUUUCCUGGAUUUUCAAAUAAAUUAAGCAAGAGAAAAGUUGUUUUCAUUAUUGAAAACAAAUUAUUGGGCAAUGUUACAAUUUUGCAAUACAGCAUGUUGUUUGUACUUCAUUGUAGACAUUUUAAUAAAAUGUUUUGGCAAUAAUGGUUUGGCUUUAAAAAUUUGCUUGCUGCAUAUGCGUUACUUUAGUUUAGUAGUAGUUGUGCAACAUGCAGAUGAAGGAUUAACAAUGAUUUACCACAUACUUGACAGUAUAGAAAGCUUGAUAUUUAAAAAUUAGCA